UAACACCUGGAAACAGAUGCUAAUACCGCAUAACAACUUGGACCGCAUGGUCCGAGUUUGAAAGAUGGCUUCGGCUAUCACUUUUGGAUGGUCCCGCGGCGUAUUAGCUAGAUGGUGGGGUAACGGCUCACCAUGGCAAUGAUACGUAGCCGACCUGAGAGGGUAAUCGGCCACAUUGGGACUGAGACACGGCCCAAACUCCUACGGGAGGCAGCAGUAGGGAAUCUUCCACAAU
rnacentral:rRNA from 1 species